AGCUGCAGUCGAGGAUCUUUCGCAAUGGGCGAAAGCCUGACGAAGCGACGCUGUGUGAAUGAUGAAGGCCUUCGGGUCGUAAAGUUCUUUCGCACGUGAACAAGAGCGAGGAGUGAAUAACUCUUCAAUUUGAGGGUAACGUGUAAAGAAGCACCGGCUAACUCC
rnacentral:rRNA from 1 species